GGCAGGGGUGGCCUGGCAGUAUGUAAGAGGACUGUUCGCUACCCCAGCCCCCAUUUCCCUUCCUUCUCUCCCCUCUCCCCUCUCUCUCUCCUCUCUCUCCCCUCUCUCUCCCCUUUUCCCUCUCCCCUCUUCCCUCUCCCCUUCUCCCUUUCUCAACCCUUUCCCCUCUCCCCUUGCUCUCUCCCUAUCCCUCACUCCACCCCCCUUUCUCUCUUUGUUCCCAUGAGUUCCAGGCCGGCCUCUCUUUCUCUCCUCUGCCCCCCACCCCUUCUCUGUCUCUACCCCUUCUCCAAGUCCUAAUUCCCCCUACCCCAAAAUAAACUUUCCUUAUAUCAGGUGUGUCGCAUGGCAUGAUUUCUCAGGCGGACACCUUGGCAUGGCCCCACCAGGAAAGGCUUUCCGGAAACGGCUUGAGUCACUUAACAGAGAAAACCGUUUUAUCGCUGCUGCAUCCAGGAUGCCGGAGGAUUCUUUCAUUUUGAAGGCUGGGCGUUGAUUUGAGGAUGAGACUGGUGGGGGCUGGGAGGCUGGCGGUACUGUUGGGAGUCGGAGCUGGGUUGCGCUGCUGCUUUCCCAAAGCUCUGGGCACUGUGAUUGCUCCCAGUGGGACUUACAUUUCAGGGAAGCAAAAAAAAAAAAAAAUCACUGAGAGCCGAGCUAAGAUGUCGUGUAAUGUGUCCCCAGUGCUCUUCAUCAAUGCAGACCCGGGUCUCAUAUUAAAAUGUUUUGUUCCCCUCCA